UGGCUCUGGCAUCGAUGAAGAACGCAGCGAAAUGCGAUAAGUAAUGUGAAUUGCAGAAUCCAGUGAAUCAUCGAAUCUUUGAACGCACAUUGCGCCCGCCAGCACUCUGGCGGGCAUGCCUGUCCGAGCGUCAUUUCAACCCUCAGGCCCCCCCGGGGGCCCGGUGUUGGGGGUCGGCCCAGGCCGCCCCCGAAAUGCAGUGGCGACCUCGCCGCGGCCUCCUCUGCGCAGUAGCUCACGCCUCGCACCGGAGCGCGGAGACGGUCACGCCGUAAAACGCCCCAAUUUCAGUAGUUGACCUCGGAUCAGGUAGGAAUACCCGCUGA
rnacentral:misc_RNA from 1 species